UAAGCAGGUUGUCUUAUCGCUCUGUUUUCAGAGAGGAAAGUCCGGACACCACAGAGUAGCAUAGCGGAUAACAUCCGUCAGAUGUAAAUCUAGGACCAGUGCAACAGAAAGCAAGUACAGUGCGGCUGUAGUGAAAUCAGGUAAACUCUAUGCGGUGCAAUGCCAUGUAUAUUGAAAUUUUAAAGUGACUCGCUUUAUUUCAAGGGGUAGGCAGCUAGAACCACGGAGUAAUUCGUGGUCCAGAUAAAUGAUAAGAACUUUUUAAGUACAGAAUCCGGCUUAUAGGCCUGCUUAUUAU
rnacentral:RNase_P_RNA from 1 species